rnacentral:rRNA from 1 species
GACGAACGCUGGCGGCGUGCUUAACACAUGCAAGUCGAACGGUGAAGCGAGUGCUUGCACUCGUGGAUCAGUGGCGAACGGGUGAGUAACACGUGAGUAACCUGCCCAUCACUCUGGGAUAAGCACUGGAAACGGUGUCUAAUACUGGAUACGACCAACCCUUGCAUGGGGUGUUGGUGGAAAGAUUUAUCGGUGAUGGAUGGACUCGCGGCCUAUCAGCUUGUUGGCGGGUAAUGGCCCACCAAGGCGACGACGGGUAGCCGGCCUGAGAGGGUGACCGGCCACACUGGGACUGAGACACGGCCCAGACUCCUACGGGAGGCAGCAGUGGGGAAUAUUGCACAAUGGGCGAAAGCCUGAUGCAGCGACGCCGCGUGAGGGAUGACGGCCUUCGGGUUGUAAACCUCUUUCAGCAGGGAAGAAGCGAAAGUGACGGUACCUGCAGAAGAAGCACCGGCUAACUACGUG